rnacentral:rRNA from 1 species
AGCGAACGCUGGCGGCAGGCCUAACACAUGCAAGUCGAACGAAGUCUUCGGACUUAGUGGCGGACGGGUGAGUAACACGAGGGAACGUACCUUUUGGUUCGGAACAACUCAGGGAAACUUGAGCUAAUACCGGAUGAGCCCUUAGGGGGAAAGAUUUAUCGCCGAAAGAGCGGCCCGCGUUAGAUUAGCUAGUUGGUGAGGUAAAGGCUCACCAAGGCUACGAUCUAUAGCUGGUCUGAGGGGAUGAUCAGCCACACUGGGACUGAGACACGGCCCAGACUCCUACGGGAGGCAGCAGUGGGGAAUCUUGCGCAAUGGGCGAAAGCCUGACGCAGCCAUGCUGCGUGAAUGAUGAAGGUCUUAGGAUUGUAAAAUUCUUUUACCAGGGACGAUAAUGACGGUACCUGGAGAAAAAGCCCCGGCUAACUUCGUGCCAGCCGCCGCAGUAACAC